UACAGAGGGUGCGAGCGUUGUCCGGAAUCACUGGGCGUAAAGGGCGCGUAGGUGGUGGCUUAAGCGUGCGGUGAAAGCUCGGAGCUCAACUCCGAGUCGGCCGUGCGAACUGGGCUCACUGGAGCAUAGUAGAGGCAGGUGGAAUUCCGGGUGUAGCGGUGGAAUGCGUAGAGAUCGGGAAGAACACCGGUGGCGAAAGCGCUCUGCUGGACCACAACUGACACUCACAGGACGAAAGCUAGGGGAGCGAAUGGG
rnacentral:rRNA from 1 species